CUUCCCUGCUCUUCAGUUCUGUCUUUUGCUUAACAUGAAAACACACAUCUACUUGCCCCAGUGCUUCUAUUGUGACUCAGGGAAAGGACUUCAACAGAUUAUUAUGAAAAUCAGUUUGACAGAUUACAUGACACAUUUUAGUGUUAAAAUCACUGACAUAGUGGUUUGUGUGUUGGAUGUAAAAAAUACCACACGCUGACAAACUGUAUACCCUUUUUUCAUUUUCUUGUCUUCGUUUCACUCUGCAACAACUCUAUAUCUACAGAUCACAUGACUGUUAUUGUUACUAUGUAAGAAAUUAUCACUUUCUAAAAAUGAAAAAACAAACAUAGAAUGUGAAUAAUUCUGUGUGGAUCAGUAGUGGAUUCAUAUAGCAGUCAAAAGGACAUUAACUAUUUGCUAUUUAAGUAUUUUGAAAUGUAUGUUGAGGAAUAAUGAUUAUUCAUCAGAAAAAUCCAAUGUGAGUGGUGAAUAUUGUUGUGCAAAUAUAUGUAGUUCUACUCGAAUAUAUGUAAAAUACUGUUCAUCUGUUAGCACUGUUUGACAGUGUUUCCGCAUUCAGAACGCCUUCACAGCAUGACUAUUAUUGUACUUUAGUGAAAGCACUGCCUUAUUCUGUGCACACUAGUGCAGAGACCCUGUAACAGCAUAUUGGUCACAAGCUACGAGAAACUCAAUAAUUUUUUGCAGAGAAAGCGAAAGAAAUCUCUUAGCAGCCAUGGUCAGUGUGCUUAUCUUUGCAUAUAUCUCAGUGAAUCUAUUCCUUAAAUGUCAAGGUCAAACGAUUCAUCAAGCUAAGAUUUUCUGUGAAAAUAGAGAAGUACCAGAAGGUGGAAGACUGGAGGUUACUUGCAGCACAUUUGGCCUUACAGUAAAGGCAGUUCAUUUAUAUCUGUGUAAAAAUGGCAAAGCUAUUGGUUGGAAAAAAGGGCUCACUCAACAAGACAUCACCUUUAAAAUAGAGAGAAUAGAUAUGAACCAUUCAGGCAACUACAGCUGUGUGUUUUCAGAAGAACAUUUGGAAAUAACCAAAGUGACAGGAUAUGGUCUUAAUAACAUCUUCAUAAAUGUGAUCGAAUCUUUUAUUUAUACACAGAUACAUUUGCUUAAGCCUGAGGUGCCAGUGGGAAGUGAUGCUGAGUUUAAAUGUUCAACAUCCAAUCCUUUACACAAAAACCAGUCCGAGAACAUGAUUUUGGUUUAUCUCAUCAAAAAUGGAAAGCCUGUUAAAGUUAAUAUUUGGGACACAGAGAAGAUGAUGACAACAUUCACCCUCAGAGAGGUCCGGACUGAAGAUGCUGGGACAUACAGUUGUGUUGUAUUGUUAAAUAUACUCCCUUACCAUGGAAUGACACUUCAUCAAAAUAUUAAAGUAAAUCUUGAGAUUACUGCGACAUCUAAUAGCAGCAAAGUCAUAAUUGUCAUAAUGUGCGCUAUCAUAGUGUUGCUCCUCAGUCUGUUUCUGGGAAUCUGGGCACUGAUCCGAAAACGAGGAUGCCUUGGAAUCCACAACGAAAGAUCCUCGAAAAAUGAGACAGAGCUCAGAGGAACAGAAAUGUUCUAUGAAGAAAUUGACACACCUUACACAUCUGGUACUGGUGACAUACAACAUGUUGUCUGGACUGCCUCAGAGUGUGAUGAAAGUUCUUCUGAAAGUGAUGAAGAGUAUAAUGAUGUGGGAUGUGCAGUAUAGCACCUGCAAGCAUUACAGUAUGAUUAAAUUAUACUGUUGCAACUUUGCUUGUCCUUUUAAGUUUCUAUUUGAAUUUACUAUUAUCUGUUUAUUGUCACUUGUUUUUUUUUAUAACACUGACCAACUGACUGUUGACUAUCGCUUUAGUCACUGUGCACAUUUUUUCAUGUUAACAUUACUGUAAAUUAUCUUUCAAGACUAGAAAUUAACUCUCAGAAUUCAUAGCAAAACACAAUAUACAUAAUGUUAAUGUAAGAUUAAAUUUUAGAAUACAAACUGAUGUUGGUUUUAUUUUUAUUUUAUUUUUUUUUAGUAUUUUUUUUUAUUUAAUCUGCACUGUGUUAGUGUUUUCACAAAUGUACUGAAGAAUAUCUCACAAUAAAAUGCUUGGAUUUUACAAAUAUUUCACCAGGUACAGAUCAUUUUUCCUUGUUUUCUAUAAACUUUUUAAAAAAUCUAACUUACUUUAAUUGAACUUUGAAAUGUACUAACUGUUGACAUUACAUAAAGAUUAAAUUGAAGUCAAUUUUAGGUAAUUUAGUAAGAACAAGUUAAAAUAAUAAAACAUUUAAUAACUUAUAACACUGAUGAUACACUUUGUGUUUAAUAAUUGGGCCUUUUUUUUUUGGUUAAAGCAUAGGGACUUGUGAUGGC
rnacentral:lncRNA from 12 species